rnacentral:rRNA from 1 species
AGCGAACGUUAGCGGCGCGCCUAACACAUGCAAGUCGCACGGAGUAGCAAUACUCAGUGGCGCACGGGUGCGUAACACGUAGAUAACCUGCCCUGAAGAGGGGGAUAACGUUCCGAAAGGAGCGCUAAUACCGCAUAACGCUGAGACGGGUUCGCCUGUUUCGGACAAAGCCUGGGACCAGCAAUGGCCAGUCGCUUUAGGCGUGGUCUGCGGCCCAUCAGCUAGUUGGUAAGGUAAUGGCUUACCAAGGCAAAGACGGGUAGCUGGUCUGAGAGGAUGAUCAGCCACACUGGUACUGGAACACGGACCAGACUCCGACGGGAGGCAGCAGUGGGGAAUCUUGGUCAAUGGGCGCAAGCCUGAACCAGCGACGCCGCGUGAGUGAUGAAGGCCUUCGGGUUGUAAAGCUCUGUGGGGAGGGACGAAAGACUGAGGUCUAAUAGGCUUCAGGUUGACGGUACCUCCUUAGCAAGCACCGGCUAACUCUGUGCCAGCAGCCGCCGCCG